AGAGUUUGAUCAUGGCUCAGGAUGAACGCUGGCGGCGUGCCUAAUACAUGCAAGUCGAACGAGGCCCUUUGUAUUCGUACGAAGGUGUCCUAGUGGCGAACGGGUGAGUAACGCGUAGGUGACCUACCCCGAAGAGGGGGACAACCCCGGGAAACCGGGGCUAAUACCCCAUGACCUCCAGGGAGUUAGAGGACCCUGGAGAAAAGGAUGCUAUGCAUUCGCUUUGGGAGGGGCCUGCGGCCCAUCAGCUAGUUGGUAAGGUAACGGCCUACCAAGGCUACGACGGGUAGGGGGCCUGAGAGGGUGGUCCCCCACACUGGCACUGAAACACGGGCCAGACACCUACGGGUGGCAGCAGUAGGGAAUAUUGCCCAAUGGACGAAAGUCUGAGGCAGCAACGCCGCGUGCGCGAUGAAGGCCUUCGGGUUGUAAAGCGCUUUUCUGGGGGAAGAGGAAGGACGGUACCCCAGGAAUAAGUCUCGGCUAACUACGUGCCAGCAGCCGCGGUAAAACGUAGGAGGCAAGCGUUAUCCGGAUUUACUGGGCGUAAAGCGCGUGUAGGCGGUUUGGUAAGUCGGACGUGAAAGCUCCCGGCUCAACUGGGAGAGGCCGUUCGAAACUACCAGACUAGAGGGCAAUAGAGGGAGGUGGAAUUCUGGGUGUAGCGGUGAAAUGCGUAGAUAUCCAGAGGAACACCAGUGGCGAAGGCGGCCUCCUGGAUUGUCCCUGACGCUCAGACGCGAAAGCUAGGGUAGCAAACGGGAUUAGAAACCCCGGUAGUCCUAGCCGUAAACGAUGCAGACUUGGUGUUGGUGGUUUAAUCGCCAUCAGUGCCGUAGCUAACGCGGUAAGUCUGCCGCCUGGGGACUACGGUCGCAAGGCUAAAACUCAAAUGAAUUGACGG
rnacentral:rRNA from 1 species